AUGAAGAUUGAAAGAGGGCAGCAGCAGUUUUGGAUUGUUGUAUGGCAGCAAGGUCAUGGUUUUAGGGUAGCAGCUUUCAGGGUGACAGUAGCUUGGAAUGAAGCAAAAUUUUGGAUAUUGGUAGCUUUAGGAUUUAGGUUUAGAAACAAUAUUUUUGUUGCAAAGUUUUCUCUUUUAUCAAAUGCCCAGGAUAUGAAGACAACAUGA